rnacentral:lncRNA from 1 species
AGAUGAGGUCUUCUUUUAUUGAAUGAGCUGGUCUCCAACUCCUGGCUUCAAGUGAUCUUCCAACUUCUGCCUCCCAAAGUGCUGGGAUUACAGGUGUGAGCCACCACGCCCGGCCAAGUUCUGCUUCUUAACCUGAGAUAAACACAAUCCGGGAAACAUUUUAUAAUACAGAGGGCCGCACCAGAUUGAAUAUUGCCCCCAGGAAUGAAAUGAAAACAGGAAUGGAUUCUCCAGUAAGAGGUACCCAGAUAUCCUAAUCUUCAGUAGCUGACCUAAACCCUGGACAAGUGGGAUCAAACCCCAUAACCAAAUACAUCUUUUUAGGAACUAAGUGGAUAAUCACUCUGUGUUGUAUGAACAUGUGGGCAAUGUGUUUCCUACACAGCUUAAAAGUGCAAUAAAAAAAGAUCUAGGUGUCAUAUAAAGAAUUUCUACCACUGUUAGAGUAAUGGUGGACUGACAGGCAGAGGGUCUUAGAUGUGAUUUAAGUAAAGUUCAAUAGAAGCUUCCAGCACAGAUAUUCAUGUUUCUAAUUGGACCGCUCCGUUAAAAAGUUUUUCCAUUAGAUUUCCCCUAAUCAAAUUAGAAAUUACCUAAUUUUCUAAUAAAGAUUUCCCCAGGCACAA